rnacentral:lncRNA from 1 species
UGUACUGAUAUUUUGGGGCCUAGUCUGAUAUGUAUGGAGUAUGGUCUGAAAUUGCAGGAGAUAUGAUUUUGCACAAGCUGCUAAGUAAAGGCUAGAAGUCCGUCAGAUUAGGUAUCGACUUCCAUGUGUAGAACUGUCUCUUCCUAGCUUUCUCUAUGUAUUAUCAGUUAUGUAACCUGCAAGUGGUAGAACAGAAAUGAAAGACUAGAAAAUUUUGACUCAACGUUUCUCUUUAGUUUCUGUCUUUCUUGUUCAAAAAACCAACCAUGAUAAAAAAAAGAAAUAUAGAACACACCGGGACACAAUUUGAGCAACCGAGUAUAUGAUCAUUUCAUUAUCUAUGGAACAAUACAUGUGUAAUUCUACAAUGUACAAGAAUGACUAUAUCAAGAUUGUUCCGGUUAAUGGUUUAGGAUGUUUAGAAACGAGACUCUAGUUUUGAUCAGAGUCCUGGAAAGGUAUUCAAGACCUUCUUCAAUAUCUUGAAUGCACAAUUCUAAGCUCUCGAGUUGGGUUUGAACACCCUUGAUGUUAUCGGAUUUGCUUGUGUUCUGAUCUACCAAGGCUAAUAAUGCCGCAUCUGCUUUAGCAAACUCAUUUAUACCAGCUUCUUCAUCUGCAGAUGCUACUUUUUUAUGGUGCACCAGCUUGGAGACUAAUGACCAACCAGUAGUCCUUGCCUCUGGUCCAGAGAUGAAGGAGAGAAGGGAAUCGAACGCUUUGAGAGAAACUACUUCAACCUCUUUCAACAUGUUAAACAUGAU